UACGUAGGGUGCAAGCGUUAAUCGGAAUUACUGGGCGUAAAGCGUGCGCAGGCGGUUUUGUAAGUCUGUCGUGAAAUCCCCGGGCUCAACCUGGGAAUUGCGAUGGAGACUGCAAGGCUAGAAUCUGGCAGAGGGGGGUAGAAUUCCACGUGUAGCAGUGAAAUGCGUAGAGAUGUGGAGGAACACCGAUGGCGAAGGCAGCCCCCUGGGUCAAGAUUGACGCUCAUGCACGAAAGCAUGGGGAGCAAACUA
rnacentral:rRNA from 1 species